CCAGACUCCUACGGGAGGCAGCAGUGGGGAAUAUUGCACAAUGGGGGAAACCCUGAUGCAGCGACGCCGCGUGAGUGAGGAAGUAUUUCGGUAUGUAAAGCUCUAUCAGCAGGGAAGAAAAUGACGGUACCUGACUAAGAAGCCCCGGCUAACUACGUGCCAGCAGCCGCGGUAAUACGUAGGGGGCAAGCGUUAUCCGGAUUUACUGGGUGUAAAGGGAGCGUAGACGGCUAAUCAAGUCAGAAGUGAAAACCCAGGGCUCAACCCCGGGAGUGCAUUUGAAACUGUCCAGCUGGAGUGCAGGAGAGGUAAGCGGAAUUCCUAGUGUAGCGGUGAAAUGCAUAGAUAUUAGGAGGAACACCAGUGGCGAAGGCGGCUUACUGGACAGUAACUGACGUUGAGGCUCGAAAGCGUGGGGAGCAAACAGGAUUAGAUACCCUUGUAU
rnacentral:rRNA from 1 species